AUUGAACGCUGGCGGCAUGCCUUACACAUGCAAGUCGAACGGCAGCGCGGGGCAACCUGGCGGCGAGUGGCGAACGGGUGAGUAAUAUAUCGGAACAUACCCUAGAGUGGGGGAUAACGUAGCGAAAGUUACGCUAAUACCGCAUACGCACUAAGGUGGAAAAGUGGGGGGAUCUUUCGGACCUCAUGCUCAUGGAGUGGCCGAUAUCUGAUUAGCUAGUUGGUGAGGUAAAGGCUUCACCAAGGCGACGAUCAGUAGCUGGUUUGAGAGAACGACCAGCCACACUGGAACUGAGACACGGUCCAGACUCCUACGGGAGGCAGCAGUGGGGAAUUUUGGACAAUGGGGGCAACCCUGAUCCAGCAAUGCCGCG
rnacentral:rRNA from 1 species